UUGGAGGGCAAGUCUGGUGCCAGCAGCCGCGGUAAUUCCAGCUCCAAUAGCGUAUAUUAAAGUUGUUGCAGUUAAAAAGCUCGUAGUUGAAUUUCGGGAUCAGAGUGUCGGUCGUGCCUCGGUACGUACUGGUAUUAUUGGUUCCUACCUUCUGAAGAACCGCGAUGUCAUUAAUUUGGUGUCGUGGGGAAUCAGGACUGUUACUUUGAAAAAAUUAGAGUGUUUAAAGCAGGCUUACGCUUGAAUACAUUAGCAUAGAAUAAUGAAAUAGGACGUUUGAUUCUAUUUUGUUGGUUUCUAGGAUUGACGUAAUGAUUAAUAGGGAUAGUUGGGGGCAUUAGUAUUCAAUUGUCAGAGGUGAAAUUCUUGGAUUUAUUGAAGACUAACUACUGCGAAAGCAUUUGCCAAGGAUGUUUUCAUUAAUCAAGAACGAAAGUUAGGGGAUCGAAGACGAUCAGAUACCGUCGUAGUCUUAACCAUAAACUAUGCCGACUAGGGAUCGGAUGAUGUUAAUUUUUUAAUGACUCAUUCGGCGCCUUACGGGAAAC
rnacentral:rRNA from 1 species